UCCCUUGUAGCUCAGUCGGUAAAGAAUCUGCCUGCAAUGCAGGAGACCUGGGUUCGAUUCCUGGGUCGGGAA
rnacentral:tRNA from 1 species